GGGUGGCCAUAUCGAAGCUGUAUCUUGCAGUAAUAUUUGCAUUUCACAGUCAAAAAUUGGCCCAGAGGAAAUGUUCUGAUUUUGGUCACUGAAAAGUUUCUAUAAUAAUUUUAUCAGUAUUACCCAAUCAGAGUACAGUU